UACACUCCUGCGGGAGGCAGCAGUGGGGAAUUUUGGACAAUGGGGGCAACCCUGAUCCAGCAAUGCCGCGUGAGUGAAGAAGGCCUUCGGGUUGUAAAGCUCUUUUGUCAGGGAAGAAACGGUAGUAGCGAAUAACUAUUACUAAUGACGGUACCUGAAGAAUAAGCACCGGCUAACUACGUGCCAGCAGCCGCGGUAAUACGUAGGGUGCAAGCGUUAAUCGGAAUUACUGGGCGUAAAGCGUGCGCAGGCGGUUGUGUAAGUCAGAUGUGAAAUCCCCGGGCUCAACCUGGGAAUUGCAUUUGAGACUGCACGGCUAGAGUGUGUCAGAGGGGGGUAGAAUUCCACGUGUAGCAGUGAAAUGCGUAGAUAUGUGGAGGAAUACCGAUGGCGAAGGCAGCCCCCUGGGAUAACACUGACGCUCAUGCACGAAAGCGUGGGGAGCAAACAGGAUUAGAUACCCGUGUAGUCCCA
rnacentral:rRNA from 1 species